AUUGAACGCUGGCGGCAGGCCUAACACAUGCAAGUCGAACGGUAACAGGAAGAAGCUUGCUUCUUUGCUGACGAGUGGCGGACGGGUGAGUAAUGUCUGGGAAACUGCCGGAUGGAGGGGGAUAACUACUGGAAACGGUAGCUAAUACCGCAUAGCGUCGCAAGACCAAAGAGGGGGACCUUCGGGCCUCUUGCCAUCGGAUGUGCCCAGAUGGGAUUAGCUAGUAGGUGGGGUAACGGCUCACCUAGGCGACGAUCCCUAGCUGGUCUGAGAGGAUGACCAGCCACACUGGAACUGAGACACGGUCCAGACUCCUACGGGAGGCAGCAGUGGGGAAUAUUGGACAAUGGGCGCAAGCCUGAUGCAGCCAUGCCGCGUGUAUGAAGAAGGCCUUCGGGUUGUAAAGUACUUUCAGCGGGGAGGAAGGGAGUAAAGUUAAUACCUUUGCUCAUUGACGUUACCCGCAGAAGAAGCACCGGCUAACUCCGUG
rnacentral:rRNA from 1 species